CCUACGGGAGGCAGCAGUGGGGAAUAUUGCACAAUGGGGGAAACCCUGAUGCAGCGACGCCGCGUGAGUGAAGAAGUAAUUCGUUACGUAAAGCUCUAUCAGCAGGGAAGAAACACUGACCUUACGGUCAGCAGACGGUACCUGAGUAAGAAGCCCCGGCUAACUACGUGCCAGCAGCCGCGGUAAUACGUAGUGGGCAAGCGUUAUCCGGAUCUACUGGGUGGAAAGGGGGCGUAGACGGUGCGCCAAGUCUGGAGUGAAAUGCCGCAGCUUAACUGCGGAACUGCUUUGGAAACUGGCGAACUAGAGUGCGGGAGGGGUAAGCGGAAAUCCGAGUGUAGCGGUGAAAUGCGUAGAUAUGAGGAGGAACACCGGUGGCGAAGGCGGCUUACUGGACCGUAACUGACGUUGAGGCUCGAAAGCGUGGGGAGCAAACAGGAUUAGAUACCCGAGUAGUC
rnacentral:rRNA from 1 species